UACGAAGGGUGCAAACGUUGCUCGGAAUUAUUGGGCGUAAAGCGCACGUAGGCGGCUUUUCAAGUCCCAUGUGAAAUCCCACGGCUUAACCGUGGAAGUGCAUGGGAAACUGGAAAGCUUGAGUACUUAAGAGGAUCGCGGAAUUCCCGGUGUAGAGGUGAAAUUCGUAGAUAUCGGGAGGAACACCAGUGGCGAAGGCGGUUCUCUGGGCCUUACCUGACGCUGAGGAGGCGAAA
rnacentral:rRNA from 1 species